GGCUUCGUGGUCUAGCGGUAUGAUUCUCGCUUAGGGUAACACCCAAGUAUCUUAUGCAUUUAAAUCGUCGACGACGAUAUGCGCUUAUGCGAGAGGUCCCGGGUUCGAUCCCCGGCGAAGCCC